CCUACGGGUGGCUGCAGUGAGGAAUAUUGGUCAAUGGGCGCGAGCCUGAACCAGCCAAGUAGCGUGAAGGAUGACGGCCCUACGGGUUGUAAACUUCUUUUAUAAAGGAAUAAAGUGAGGCACGUGUGCCUUUUUGUAAGUACGUUAUGAAUAAGGAUCGGCUAACGCCGUGCCAGCAGCCGCGGUAAUACGGAGGAUCCGAGCGUUAGCCGGAUUUAUUGGGUUUAAAGGGAGCGUAGAUGGGUUGUUAAGUCAGUUGUGAAAGUUUGCGGCUCAACCGGAAAAUUGCAAUUGAUACUGGCAGUCUUGAGUACCGUAGAGGUAUGCGGACUUCGUGGUGUAGCGGUUAAAUGCUUAGAUAUCACGAAGAACUCCGAUUGCGAAGGCAGUUCACUGGACUGCAACUGACACUGAUGCUCGAAAGUGUGGGUAUCAAACAGGAUUAGAUACCCUUGUAGUC
rnacentral:rRNA from 1 species